rnacentral:rRNA from 1 species
AUGACCGCCGACAAGCGUCGUGGCCUCUCCACCAUUGCGGUGCUCACAGCUUGGUCUCUUUGGCGCCACCACAAUGUUGUGAUCUUCGACAAGAUAGCUCCCUCCUCCACUUCUCUCCUUGUGGCAAUUCAAGAGGAGGCUCGCUCCUGGACUAACACCGGAGCCAAAGGGCUUAGCAAUAUUAUCCCUGUAAUGUAA